rnacentral:rRNA from 1 species
UACGAAGGGUGCAAGCGUUAAUCGGAAUUACUGGGCGUAAAGGGUGCGUAGGCGGUUAUUUAAGUCUGCCGUGAAAUCCCCGGGCUCAACCUGGGAAUGGCGGUGGAUACUGGAUAGCUAGAGUGUGUCAGAGGAUGGUGGAAUUCCCGGUGUAGCGGUGGAAUGCGCAGAUAUCAGGAGGAACACCAAUAGCGAAGGCAGCUCGCUGGGACGGUACUGACGCUAAGGCGCGAAAGCGUGGGGAGCGAACAGG